CACGUAGUUAGCCGUGGCUUAUUCGACAGGUACCGUCUUCUGCUCUUCCCUGUCGAAAGAAGUUUACAACCCGAAAGCCUUCUUCCUUCACGCGGCGUUGCUGGGUCAGGCUUGCGCCCAUUGCCCAAUAUUCCCCACUGCUGCCUCCCGUAGGAGUCUGGGCCGUAUCUCAGUCCCAAUGUGGCCGGCCAACCUCUCAGUCCGGCUACUGAUCGUCGCCUUGGUAGGCCGUUACCCUACCAACUAGCUAAUCAGACGCGAGGCCAUCUCUCAGCGAUAAAUCUUUGGUACCAGUACCAUGCGAUACCCGUACGUUAUGCGGUAUUAGCAGUCGUUUCCAACUGUUGUCCCCCUCUGAAAGGCAGGUUCCUCACGCGUUACUCACCCGUCCGCCACUAAGUAGUCCUCUCCAUUGACCGAAAUCUCUUUCGACGGGUACCCCGUUCGACUUGCAUGUGUUAAGCACGCCGCCAGCGUUCGUCCUGACGUCCGAGGAUCAAACUACU
rnacentral:rRNA from 1 species